rnacentral:rRNA from 1 species
GACGAACGCUGGCGGCGUGCUUAACACAUGCAAGUCGAACGGAAAGGCCCUGCUUUUGUGGGGUGCUCGAGUGGCGCACGGGUGAGUAACACGUGAGUAACCUGCCCUUGACUUUGGGAUAACUUCAGGAAACUGGGGCUAAUACCGGAUAGGAGCUCCUGCUGCAUGGUGGGGGUUGGAAAGUUUCGGCGGUUGGGGAUGGACUCGCGGGUUAUCAGCUUGUUGGUGGGGUAGUGGCUUACCAAGGCUUUGACGGGUAGCCGGCCUGCGAGGGGGACCGGCCACAUGGGGACUGAGAGACGGCCCAGACUCCAACGGGAGGCAGCAGUGGGGAAUAUUGCACAAUGGGCGGAAGCCUGAUGCAGCAACGCCGCGUGCGGGAUGACGGCCUUCGGGUUGUAAACCGCUUUCGCCUGUGACGAAGCGUGAGUGACGGUAAUGGGUAAAGAAGCACCGGCUAACUACGUG